rnacentral:Y_RNA from 1 species
AGGACGAAUGACUGCGAAACUACAUGGGGUAUUGGCGGUUCGAGUCCGCCCGGCGAUUUUCGCCGAACUGUUUCGCAAAGUGUUGUCGUCCGCCU